rnacentral:siRNA from 1 species
AGCUCCUUACGUAUUCAUCAGCCU